rnacentral:rRNA from 1 species
AGUCACUGCUAUUGGGGUUCGACUAAGCCAUGCGAGUCCAGAGUGGUUAAGCACUCGGCAGACGGCUCAGUAACACGUGGGUAAUCUACCCUCAGGACAGGGAUAACCCCGGGAAACUGGGGAUAAUACCUGAUAGGUGGAGAGGUCUGGAAUGCCUCUCCGCCGAAAGCUCCGGCGCCUGAGGAUGAGCCUGCGCCCGAUUAGGUUGUUGGCGGUGUAACGGACCACCAAGCCUUAGAUCGGUACGGGCACUGAGAGGUGGAGCCCGGAGAUGGGGGCUGAGACACGGCCCCAGGCCCUACGGGGCGCAGCAGGCGCGAAAACUCCGCAAUACGCGCAAGCGUGACGGGGGAACCCCAAGUGCCUCAUCUUUUUGGUGAGGCUUUUUCAGAGUGUAAACAGCUCUGAGAAUAAAAGCGGGGUAAGACCGGUGCCAGCCGCCGCGGUAACACCGGCCGCUCAAGUGGUGACCGCUAUUAUUGGGCCUAAAGCGUCCGUAGCCGGUUCGGUAAGUCCCUGGGUAAAUCCUGCCGUUUAACGGUAGGAAUUCUGGGGAUACUGCCGGACUCGGGGUCGAGAGAAGUCGGAGGUACUCCGGGGGUAGCGGUGAAAUGCUGUAAUCCUCGGGGGACCACCAGUGGCGAAGGCGUCCGACUAGAGCGGGCCCGACGGUGAGGGACGAAAGCCAGGGGAGCGAACGGGAUUAGAUACCCCGGUAGUCCUGGCCGUAAACGCUGUGGGCUAGGUGUUGCAUGCUCUACGAGGGCAUGCAGUGCCGUAGAGAAGUUGAUAAGCCUACCGCCUGGGAAGUACUACCGCAAGGUAGAAACUUAAAGGAAUUGGCGGGGGARCACCACAAGGGGUGRARUCUUGCGGUUC